rnacentral:rRNA from 1 species
UUGAGUGGUGGAAAUACCCAGCUCCAUUUCGAACCUGGCAGUCAAGCACCACAUCGGCGAUGAUACUACUCCUUACUGGAGACGGAAAAGUAGCUCGUUGCCGGGG